CGUUCUCAAUAAACCCCGCACAAAAUAUUACUCAUUAGUAUAAAUCUCCUUUUAAACUACUCGAAUAAUUACGUCAUUUUAAUGACUGCGUAUCCCCGUAUCAUUGAAAAAUAAUAGUUACCCAUUCUCCUGUUAAACUACUCAAAUAAUUACGUCAUUUUAAUGACUGCGUAUCCCCGUAUCCCCGCAUCAUUGAAAAAUAAUAGUUACCCAUUCUCCUCUUAAACUACUCCAAUAAUUACGUCAUUUUAAUGACUGCGUAUCCCAGUAUCCCCGUAUCAUUGAAAAAUAAUAGUUACCCAUUCUCCUCUUAAACUACUCCAAUAAUUACGUCAUUUUAAUGACUGCGUAUCCCCGUAUCCCCGUAUCAUUGAAAAAUAAUAGUUACCCAUUCUCCUCUUAAACUACUCGAAUAAUUACGUCUUUUUAAUGACUGCGUAUCCCCGUAUCCCCGUAUCAUUGAAAAAUAAUAGUUACCCAUUCUCCUCUUGAACUACUCGAAUAAUUACGUCAUUUUAAUGACUGCGUAUCCCCGUAUCCUCGUAUCAUUGAAAAAUAAUAGUUACCCAUUCUCCUCUUAAACUACUCCAAUAAUUACGUCAUUUUAAUGACUGCGUAUCCCCGUAUCCCCGUAUCAUUGAAAAAUAAUAGUUACCCAUUCUCCUCUUAAACUACUCCAAUAAUUACGUCAUUUUAAUGACUGCGUAUCCCCGUAUCCUCGUAUCAUUGAAAAAUAAUAGUUACCCAUUCUCCUCUUAAACUAAUCCAAUAAUUACGUCAUUUUAAUGACUGCGUAUCCCCGUAUCCCCGUAUCAUUGAAAAAUAAUAGUUACCCAUUCUCCUCUUAAACUACUCCAAUAAUUACGUCAUUUUAAUGACUGCGUAUCCCCGUAUCCUCGUAUCAUUGAAAAAUAAUAGUUACCCAUUCUCCUCUUAAACUACUCCAAUAAUUACGUCAUUUUAAUGACUGCGUAUCCCCGUAUCAUUGAAAAAUAAUAGUUACCCAUUCUCCUCUUAAACUACUCGAAUAAUUACGUCAUUUUAAUGACUGCGUAUCCCCGUAUCCCCCAAAAGCAAACACUAUCAAAAUUCAAAAGUGGCCGGGUAUUCUAUAAUCGCUCCNNNNNNNNNNNNNNNNNNNNCGAUUUGACCCCUAAACCCGCAAAAAAAUAUUACUCAUAUAUUGUAGUUCUCGUUCUCAAUAAACCCCGCACAAAAUAUUACUCGUAUAUUGUAUUUCUCGUUCUCAAUAAACCCCGCACAAAAUAUUACUCAUAUAUUGUAGUUCUCGUUCUCAAUAAACCCCGCACAAAAUAUUACUCAUAUAUUGUAUUUCUCGUUCUCAAUAAACCCCGCACAAAAUAUUACUUAUAUAUUGUAGUUCUCGUUCUCAAUAAACCCCGCACAAAAUAUUACUCAGAUAUUGUAUUUCUCGUUCUCAAUAAACCCCGCACAAAAUAUUACUCAUAAAAAUAUUACUCAUAUAUUGUAUUUCUCGUUCUCAAUAAACCCCGCACAAAAUAUUACUCAUAUAUUGUAUUUCUCGUUCUCAAUACUACUCGAAUAAUUACGUCAUUUUAAUGACUGCGUAUCCCCGUAUCAUUGAAAUAUAAUAGUUACCACUUCUCCUUUUAAACUACUGUACUCGAAUAAUUAUACGUCGUUUUAAUGACUGCGUAUCACCCCGCACAAAAUAUUACUCAUAUAUUGUAUUUCUCGUUCUCAAUACUACUCGAAUAAUUACGUCAUUUUAAUGACUGCGUAUCCCCGUAUCAUUGAAAUAUAAUAGUUACCACUUCUCCUUUUAAA
rnacentral:lncRNA from 1 species